UCUGAAAUAAUUUGGCUUUGGCCUUUUCUUGCUCUUGGAAUUUCAAAGUUUCUAAGAUGUUCCCAUUGGCUUUGAAUGGUUGAUUAAUGCUUGCAUUUGGGUCCUCGGUGGAUCCCUUUAUUGGAAAACUAUGUAUUGUUUGAUUUCAUUUAAAUUGCAAUUAGGGGAGAUUUAGUGACUUUGUGUUACUUUACUAUUUGAGGUACCUUGACCUUUUUAUUAUUUUGAAGCCAUUUUUCUUUCAUUUGGUCAUCACUCGAAGGGGGCGGAGUUGGUGGUCGAGAAACGAAUAAGGGAGCUUAGCGAGUUAACAUGAAGUCUUUUGAAAUUGUAAAUUAUCUAGUAUCAUACCACGGCUGAAGUUUUGUAUUAAACUUGGCAUUGUAAAAGAUUUAAACGUGUGGUUUUAGUAUACCACAAUGUUAUCUCUGAAGUUAAUGUAA